rnacentral:rRNA from 1 species
AGUGAACGCUGGCGGUAGGCCUAACACAUGCAAGUCGAACGGCAGCACAGGAGAGCUUGCUCUCUGGGUGGCGAGUGGCGGACGGGUGAGGAAUACAUCGGAAUCUACUCUGUCGUGGGGGAUUACGUAGGGAAACUUACGCUAAUACCGCAUACGACCUACGGGUGAAAGCAGGGGACCUUCGGGCCUUGCGCGAUUGAAUGAGCCGAUGUCGGAUUAGCUAGUUGGCGGGGUAAAGGCCCACCAAGGCGACGAUCCGUAGCUGUUCUGAGAGGAUGAUCAGGCACGCUGGAACUGAGAGACGGUCCAGACUCCUACGGGAGGCAGCAGUGGGGAAUAUUGGACAAUGGGCGCAAGCCUGAUCCAGCCAUACCGCGUGGGUGAAGAAGGCCUUCGGGUUGUAAAGCCCUUUUGUUGGGAAAGAAAUCCAGCUGGCUAAUACCCGGUUGGGAUGACGGUACCCAAAGAAUAAGCACCGGCUAACUUCGUGCCAGCAGCCGCCGCCG